rnacentral:rRNA from 1 species
CGCGCCCGAUUAGCUAGUUGGUGAGGUAAUGGCUCACCAAGGCGACGAUCGGUAGCCGGCCUGAGAGGGCGAACGGCCACACUGGAACUGAGACACGGUCCAGACUCCUACGGGAGGCAGCAGUGGGGAAUAUUGCGCAAUGGGGGAAACCCUGACGCAGCAACGCCGCGUGGAGGACGAAGGUUUUCGGAUUGUAAACUCCUGUCCUCUGGGACGAUAAUGACGGUACCAGAGGAGGAAGCCACGGCUAACUACGUGCCAGCAGCCGCGGUAAUACGUAGGUGGCAAGCGUUGUCCGGAAUUACUGGGCGUAAAGGGCGCGUAGGCGGUACCCUAAGUCAGAUGUGAAAACCCGGAGCUUAACUUCGGAACUGCAUUUGAAACUGGGGAACUCGAGUGUCGGAGAGGAAAGCGGAAUUCCAAGUGUAGCGGUGAAAUGCGUAGAUAUUUGGAGGACACCAGUGGCGAAGGCGGCUUUCUGGACGAUAACUGACGCUGAGGCGCGAAAGCGUGGGGAGCAAACAGGA